GCGUCAGUAGUGCAACGAGUCAGAGCGCGCGCUUCCGGGUAGAGUGAGAUGUGGGUUCGAGUCCCGCCUGACGCA